GGGGCUGUAUCUCAGUUGGUAGAGAGCCUGCCUUGCAAGCAGGAGGUCAGCGGUUCGAGCCCGCUCAGCUCCA
rnacentral:tRNA from 1 species